AGUGAACGCUGGCGGUAGGCCUAACACAUGCAAGUCGAACGGCAGCACAGUAAGAGCUUGCUCUUACGGGUGGCGAGUGGCGGACGGGUGAGGAAUACAUCGGAAUCUACUUUUUCGUGGGGGAUAACGUAGGGAAACUUACGCUAAUACCGCAUACGACCUACGGGUGAAAGCAGGGGAUCUUCGGACCUUGCGCGAUUGAAUGAGCCGAUGUCGGAUUAGCUAGUUGGCGGGGUAAAGGCCCACCAAGGCGACGAUCCGUAGCUGGUCUGAGAGGAUGAUCAGCCACACUGGAACUGAGACACGGUCCAGACUCCUACGGGAGGCAGCAGUGGGGAAUAUUGGACAAUGGGCGCAAGCCUGAUCCAGCCAUACCGCGUGGGUGAAGAAGGCCUUCGGGUUGUAAAGCCCUUUUGUUGGGAAAGAAAAGCAGCAGGUUAAUACCCCGCUGUUCUGACGGUACCCAUAGAAUAAGCACCGGCUAACUUCGU
rnacentral:rRNA from 1 species